UCUUGGAUAGUGCAGUGGUUAGCAUGCGCGUCCAGAAAGGGUGAGACGCGGGCUCAACUCCCGUGCGAGGCUUAAGAA